GCUCAGUUGGUUAGAGCGUGGUGCUAAUAACGCCAAGGUCGCGGGUUCGAUCCCCGUACCGGCCAAAGGCCUUUCUAAUGUUUAUUUCACAGUAACAAUUUUGUGUAGCCACGUCAAAGCUCACAAGAGAAAAAGAAUGUAAAUGUGUGUGAACCCAGCAAUCUACACAGACUUCUAAUGCUUGUUUCACAGUAGCAACUGUGGGCAGUGAUACAGAAAGUCACAAGAGAACACGAAACUUCCCUCACUCAACUCUAGAGAUACUGGACUUAAGGAAAUGUCCCCAUAGAACGCUGAGCCUUUCACCUCCUCUUUGCUCGUCUCACGGCUUUGUCAGACACGAAACCAUCUUCUGGAAAAUGUCUUCCCUGACACCUCUCCUACUUUUCUGAGUUUGGGUUGCUUUCCUCCUAGCACUCACGGAGAUCCAGGAAGAGAAUCCCGGUGGGUUCUAACCUCAACCUGUAAAUCCACUAAGCAAGCUCCUACUGAACACCUAUGAUGCAAGCUCAAUCCAAGAGGCCAG